rnacentral:sRNA from 1 species
UAUUAAUAUUUCGAUUUUUUGUUUGGGAUUGGGGAGGGGGUUGGUUAUAUAAAGUGUUCGUGAUUUGAUGGAGAAGGCUAUUUCUAUUGUGUGAAGGCAGUUUUGCUAAUAUCAUGUUUUCAAGUUAUGUACUUUGAUUAUUUUGAAAAUGAUCAUCAUUUAUUUUUUGGAUCCUCACAGAAUGUUACUCUUACCAUGCUUACAGCGUCUGAUCUUUCAUUUGAUUGUGUUCAGAUUUUCUCACCAGAUAUUGCAGUGAGCAAGAAGCUUCCUUGUCUUAACUUACCUACCUAAAAUGUACAUGUAUAGAUACACACCUGACAUAUAUAUAUAUAUUGUAAAUCACUUGAUUAUCAGUUAUGUGUGUGAUAUUAUGUUAUCCCUGUGUGUUGUGAGAGUGUCUCAAUUGUUUUGAAACUGUAUUUUAAUUUAUUUUUUCACAUUAACUCUAUCAGUAAUGAAAGUUUGAUUACAUGUAUUAUGGUUUUUGGCUUCCAUGAGAAAAAUGAUCCUUUUGUCAAGGAGCUGGUCACAGUAUUCAACAGUACCGUAUUAAUCCUUUUGAUCCCUCGUGCUCUUACAUUCACCAAGUUUAGAGAUGUUCUGUUUUCAAAUUAUUAGAAUGUUAAUGUGAAUUAUGUGUUAUUUGAUACUUUUACGGGCUUAGAAAAAGUAACAUGAAAUUAAAUCUUACACAAAUACUAUAAUUUCUACAACAUUUGCAGUAUGAUGAUUUUCCACUUUGGCAAUACUAGUAUUGUAAGCAUCAAGGGUGUUUUAUUCGAGAAAUACGGUAUUUGAAAAACAUAUCAUUGCCUAUUUUAGAAUGAAACCAGGUAAAAAAAAAAAAAAAGGAAAUGCAUGUAUAUGAUAUACAUGAAAAAUAUACUCAAUUCUUCUUUUGAUGAUUUUUUGAUUAAAGUUGUCUUUCCUGAUCUAUUUUUUUUUUUUACUAUGUCGUUACAUUGCAGGAAAGGCUAUGUAAUGAUGAUUUUUUUUUACUAUGUCGUUACAUUGCAGGAAAGGCUAUGUAAUGAUGAUUUUUUUUUUACUAUGUCGCGACAUUGCAGAAAAGGCUAUGUAAUGACGCCACAUUGCAGGGAAGGCUAUGUAAUGAUAAUUUUUUUUUACUAUGUCGCGACAUUGCAGAAAAGGCUAUGUAAUGAUGAAUGAUUAGGAAUUCUGACCGUAACGGCUGUGUUUUAAAAAGAUUUUUUUUUUGGUAUUUUUGAAUUGUUCCUGUAUUUGUAUUGUUCCGUGCGUCUUUGGUUGCUUUUGAAUUCGAUUUAUAUAUGUACAUGUAUAAAAGAAUUGAAGCUAAUUUAAACAUACAAUGCAAAUCUGUUUUUUAAGUAUUAAAUGCAUCAUAUAAGUGU